rnacentral:ncRNA from 1 species
GUCUUUCGUUUUUGCCGGGGCUAACUUAAAGAAGUCUCAAGGCACCGGAACCUCGUGCGAAUCGAGGGCGGUCGCGCCACUGUAAGGCCUACGGGCCGAGCCAGAGCUGGUGCCCUGAGAACGAAUCCCAU